rnacentral:rRNA from 1 species
GAAUUUUGGACAAUGGGCGCAAGCCUGAUCCAGCCAUGCCGCGUGUGUGAUGAAGGCCCUAGGGUUGUAAAGCACUUUCAACGGUGAAGAUAAUGACGGUAACCGUCGAAGAAGCCCCGGCUAACUUCGUGCCAGCAGCCGCGGUAAUACGAAGGGGGCUAGCGUUGUUCGGAAUUACUGGGCGUAAAUCGAGCGUAGGCGGAUCGUUAAGUGAGGGGUGAAAUCCCAGGGCUCAACCCUGGAACUGCCUUUCAUACUGGCGAUCUUGAGUUCGAGAGAGGUGAGUGGAAUUCCGAGUGUAGAGGUGAAAUUCGUAGAUAUUCGGAGGAACACCAGUGGUGAAGGCGGCUCACUGGCUCGAUACUGACGCUGAGGUGCGAAAGCGUGGGGAGCAAACAGG